AAAUGCCAAAAGGCGAAACCCAAAUCCAGAUUCUAUAAACCAACCAACCACGGGGAAGAAUAUAAGUACUAUAAUUGUCUGGUUACCAGGAAAGCUUCAUACCCAACGGAAAGACAUGAUCAUGCGCUCUACUUCCUUAUUUGCUUGGGAAAAAAGUAAAUUUGUGGAGAUUGUUGCUGCAGGCCUUCAGAGUACAAUUCAGACCAACUUCAAUGUAAAUGGAAUCCCGAAUCUUCAUUCCUCAGAAGUGAUUAUUAUGCAACCUGUCUGAGCACAGAAGGAUACAUGUUCUCGUUUAGGAAAAGGGUGAUCCAGCCAUUAAAACUGCUUGGAGCCAGGGGGCACUUGAAAAGUGGUUCAAUUUUUCAACAUACUGGGGAUCAAACUUCAUAGAGGCUUUCGCCUUGGCACGCUGAGAACGAGGGCUGCUUGGUCACUGGUUGCUGCAGUUGCAGUGAUUCGAUACCCACAGUCCCAUCGGCGAUGAAUACCUUCACUAGGGUAUAAGAAAUCCAACUCGACCACCUGAAGUUUAAGAACAACGGUCAGGUCAGUUUUGCACAUUGUAAUUUUGUAUAACCAGAUUAGAAGAUAUUAUCCUUUCAUGAUGUGAAAAAUAACCUGAUCGGAAAAUCCUGCACCACGGGACAUAACAACGCCCCACCGACUUCCCGAGGUGGCCAUUGCCGUUACAUAGAAUCCCUCUCUCCACUUUUUGUUAAUCCAUUUGAAAGGAAAAGAAUCACUGACUUUGUA